GUAACUCCAUGACAACUAUUUAAUAAUUUAGGUUUUUUGUGCAGUCACUUACUCCUUCACAAACAAGGAAGAUUUCACCAUGUAAAAGCUGAGUUUGUGUCUCUUACCCAGACAGAUUCUGAGUCUUGGUUUGUCACUUACAAGAGUUUUUUUUACCUGUUGCAUCUUAAUUCACUUAGAAUUUAGAAAAGCUGCUCUGCUACACGAGCUUAAGAACAUUCUGAAGUUCCACUGAAUUAGCACUCAAAAGCACUAUUGGCUUUACCCUAGUUUAGAAUCAUUCCAAAUAGCCUCAAUGUAACCAAGUGCCAAAGCAAUUUCAUGAAGUGGCUCUUAUAGAGGUGCCUAAAACAGCAAUUUAGUUGCCACAUCUCCAGAGCAACGCUGAAUUUGAUUUUAUAUCCCAGGAUUUCAGUGGAAGAUCCCAGAACAGGACCUGGAGAGCUACCACUCUGGACGUGCCAAUAUAACCCAAAUCUUACGUGACUGCUGCAAAGCACUCGCUGAUCCCUGCCUAUAAUCAAGAAGAAACACUAGCAUUUCAUCAUCAUCAUUUUAUAAAAACCAUGAAAGGUUAAUGGUCAGACUAAACAGAGAAUAAUCAUACCACUGUAUGAGAUUUUUUUAUUAUAGGUGGUAUGAGUGGCAGUAUUUCAUAAGACGUGCAAAAUACAACUCAAAACCCUGAACAUCAACUUAAUUUAAAAGUGUCUAGAUGAAAAAUUCAACUGACAAGUACCAUUCAUCCCAACCAAAUACCUUCCACACUGUUAAACAAAUGACAAGAUAGUAAAGAAAAAUUGAAUUUAGAAUGUUUUACCUUCCCAUUCCAGCGAAGCACAACAUUUGAAUCCCACUUCUGCUCUCUCAAUGACUUCUGCUAAUACCCCAUUGAUCAGGCACUCCAAAUAAGUUUAAUUAGUGGAAAGUAACACAUUCAUUUACAUUUUUUCCUCUUGGUUACUGUUCAUUUGGUCUUCAAUAUUCUAUACUAAAGAUAUUACUUAAUAUCUAUGCCACAGAGAGGGGCACGUUUGAAAAAGAGAGGUUUUCAGAAGUGACUUCUUUUCAUGGACGAAAAACAAAUGGUUGCAAGAAAAUUGAAUAGGGACGGAAAAAUAUUUCAGAAAUAUUUCAGAUUAAGCAUGUGUUUUACCUUUCACCACAUCAGGCCAAGUCCUCAGGAUACAAAUCUCUGGAGCUCCAUUUAAAUCAACAAAGACAGUUCAGAAAUUGGCCUUUUCCUCUCUUCAAAUACCACCUACAACCUGCAUCUAUGCAUUUGACUUUUCCAGAUCCUCUGCUUCAAAUUCUGCCUAAAAAGCUAGGAAGUUCGUUGGAAUAUAACUCAAACUUGGCAUAUUGUAGUGGAUUCACGAUUGCACACAAAAUCUCAACCCUCAAAGCUGUAUGGUUGGGAGAAAAAAGAAAACACGGCAGGGAGAGGAGGCAAAAAAAAAAAAAAAAUCUCAUUUCAAAGAAAUUAGUUCAAAUUCUUGACACGUAGUAAGAGUUUUCCAGACAACCUGCUUUCCAGCAAACAAAACGUACUUUCUCCUUUUCUCAGUACCAGAGGCCGAGCCCCCCUCAGAGGCCCUGCAGGCCAGCCCCACACACCAGCAACCGCCAUUUCCCGCCCCGACCCGGCCCCACACACCGGCAGCCGCCAUUUUCCCACACGGCAACACCGGCUCGGCCCCACACACCGGCAGCCGCCAUUUUCCCCACACGGCAAUACCGGCCCGGCCCGGUCCCACACACCGAUAGCCGCCAUUUCCCGGCCCGACCCGGCCCCACACACCGGCAGCCGCCAUUUAGCCACAACAGGACCCCCAUCCCAGCCCUCACCACCGAAAGCUGUUGCUAAACUCCUUCUUCUCAAUUUUUUUCACCUCAAACGAAGCUCUGCGGGUGUGGCGGCAGAGGCUGAACGCGGUCCCGCCGUAUGAACCAGCCCGGGACACACCACCUUCUCGCGUUAAGCGAGCUGCAAAAUGGGCGGAAACUGCCUUUCCCAAACAAAAGUAACGAGAAAAUCCUGGAAACCCUGAGGGCCAGAGCCUGCUUUAAAUCUUCCCGGGUGCAGGAGGAAAAGAGCAGUUGCUUUGCAGGGAGUGAUAACUCUAGAUGCCUGUUAAACUUGACGAAAUCAGUCCCAUGAGUCCCUCAUUUUUUAGGACUUGGUCUCCAGUUGCCACUUCAAGAAAGUGUCUGGAGCAGCCAACAGGGGCAAGUUUAAGUCAGGGGAGUGCCCCUCCUCCAGGCACACCACAGCAUAACUGGAUUUGAAAGUAUCAUGGACCCCCAAAGUGGAAAGCAGAACAUUUGCCACACCAAAGUGCAGAUGAAUACACAGGUUGGCUGAGUUAGGAUAUUUUGACCCAAUAUCAACAUGUGAUAGCAAGUUUUUUCAGCAACCGUCCCACCCACCCACCGACAACAAGAUUCCAACUGAUCAGCUGCUGUGUAUCUGGUGAUUCAAAGGAAUCUACUCCACACUGAAGUACUACAAUAGAUCUACCAAAUUGCCUGUCUUUGCUCUUCACGAACUCUGCUUGUACAACAUAAAACUGUUAGAUGCAAGAAAUGUUUUGCUGAAACUUGACAGGCUAGCUCAAAGCACUAAGUCUUCACUGCAAGUCAAAAUGAUGGUAUGCUAGAACAGGAACGUGUUUACUAAUCAGAGCUGAAACCUACCAUCCUCACAGGCAAAACAGCUUGUACAUCCAAGAAGCAAUGUCUCCCUGUGGAAACCAGCAUACCAGUUUGGGCUGAAACUGGUUUUUAAAUUACAUAUUUUUUUUCGUGUGAAACUGCAUGUGAAAAAUACUUAAAA